rnacentral:rRNA from 1 species
UGGGGAAUUUUGGACAAUGGGCGAAGCCUGAUCCAGCAAUGCCGCGUGUGUGAAGAAGGCCUUCGGGUUGUAAAGCACUUUUGUCCGGAAAGAAAUCCUUGGCUCUAAUACAGUCGGGGGAUGACGGUACCGGAAGAAUAAGCACCGGCUAACUACGUGCCAGCAGCCGCGGUAAUACGUAGGGUGCAAGCGUUAAUCGGAAUUACUGGGCGUAAAGCGUGCGCAGGCGGUUUGCUAAGACCGAUGUGAAAUCCCCGGGCUCAACCUGGGAACUGCAUUGGUGACUGGCAGGCUAGAGUAUGGCAGAGGGGGGUAGAAUUCCACGUGUAGCAGUGAAAUGCGUAGAGAUGUGGAGGAAUACCGAUGGCGAAGGCAGCCCCCUGGGCCAAUACUGACGCUCAUGCACGAAAGCGUGGGGAGCAAACAGGAUUCAGAUACCCUGGUAGUCCACGCCCUAAACGAUGUCAACUAGGUUGUUGGGGAUUCAUUUCCUUAGUAACGUAGCUAACGCGUGAAGUUGACCGCCUGGGGAGUACGGUCGC